rnacentral:rRNA from 1 species
UACGUAGGUGGCAAGCGUUGUCCGGAAUUAUUGGGCGUAAAGCGCGCGCAGGCGGUCCCUUAAGUCUGAUGUGAAAGCCCACGGCUCAACCGUGGAGGGUCAUUGGAAACUGGGGGACUUGAGUACAGAAGAGGAAAGCGGAAUUCCACGUGUAGCGGUGAAAUGCGUAGAGAUGUGGAGGAACACCAGUGGCGCAGGCGGCUCUCUGGGUCGGCCCUGACGCUGAGGCGCGAAAGCGUGGGGAGCGAACGGG